rnacentral:SRP_RNA from 1 species
GGCCCAGCCCCAUGCGACGAAGAAUCGCGAAUCCCGCCAGGUUCGGAAGAAAGCACCGGUAAACGAAGCUCUUCGGGCGCCGUGGCAAAGCUGGGUCUCC